GGAAAAGCAAUUAACCAUUGUUUUGUUCUCUGAAUUUCUUGUGUUGCAGGAUCUCACACAAUAGGGCAAGCAAGAUGUACCACAUUCCUAACCAGAAUCAACAGUGAAACCAACAUAGAUUCCUCGUUCAAAACAUCAACACAAGCUCAGUGUCAGAAUACUAACAAUCUCGUCCCUUUGGAUGUCACGAGCCCGACAUCUUUCGACAGUGCUUACUACAGGAACUUACUGAACCAGAAGGGCCUCUUACACUCUGACCAGCAACUCUUUAGCGGGGGCUCUACAGAUGCUCAGGUUAGGGCUUAUAGCUCUAAUCAGGCUGCUUUCAAGACAGACUUUGCAAAUGCAAUGAUAAAGAUGGGAAACCUUAGCCCACUCACUGGCACAAAUGGCCAGAUCAGGACCAAUUGCAGGAAAGCCAACUGAGUUCUAUGCCCAGUGGUCCGAAUGGCUAGCAGCUCUUCGUUUAUGUGUGUGAGUAGAUCCUAGAAAUAAAGGAGGGCAAAUACAUCCAUGUCUGCAUGUUAUUUUGCUCUCUUGUAAGGUUGUGGAAAAAGUUUCUCCGAUCCUCUUUCCAUCUUCUAGCGUACAAGACUUGGGAAAAAGUUUCCAAGUAGUCUGUAUUUGUAAAGCGAUGUGAGAUGUGACUUAUGAAAUCUAUGCAAUUGGAGUUCUGUUUUUCAAAAGCACACAGCAAUUGGAAUGAUUAUAGAAACCCAAGGGCUUCGAAUUCGACGGGGCUUUUUAUCGGUACAGGCUAGUUAUGAGCCAGCCCAUAAAGGAUAUAUAAUUAAUUAUAUACAUAGUUAUUAAUUAUGACUCAGGAUGAUCCGGUAAGUUAACUCAAAUAAGUUUAAUAAAGUUAAAAAGAUCAAAAUAAUAUUAUUUUUUAAAAAUAAUUUAAAAAUAAACAUGUUUUUUCUGGGUUUUUACAAGAUUACGGGUUGAUCCACUAAAUUAAUUGCUGUUUAACAUUUAAUAAGCUCAAAUAAUUUAAUAAAAUAAUUAGAAAAUAAGAUAUCAAGAACAAACAAAAACAUUAUAUCUACGACAAACAAUUGUUGAUUUUUUCGUUAUUGUCCUCUCAAGGGAUGGAAGUAGCGUGAUGUUGUUUCAAUAAUUCAAUUUUGAGUAAGUUUGAUCGCUAGCUGUGUAAUAUUUUAUGCAGUUCAGAAUCGGAUUUUCCAAAGAUGAUUAUGAAGAUAAAUAUAAUGGAUUCAAAUGCAAUAUGGUUUAAAGUUCAAAUGCGAUAUGCUUGGUACGUAGCAUAUAUAUAUAAUAGAUGAAUUUAAUUUUAUAUGUAGAAUGGAAUUAUUAUUUUUUAUCAUGAAAUUAGAAUUACAAAAAUUGAACUUGUAGUUGUUCAAGACUGGGUUCUUUGGUCCCUACGCGUUUUGCUAAAAAGAUAGAAGUGCUGGAAGAUAAUGCUCUACGAAUAUGACAGAAUAACAGUAGCUUAUAAUGCAUUGAAAAUGACAAUCUACAGAGAUCAGUACCCUAUGCAUAUGGUAUCAAUGCUCCUUUCUGUUAAUUUAUAUAGAAUGUAAAUUAUUUACAUUCUCCCUAAAUUAUUUCCUUUUUAUGCAAAUAAUUUAGCCUUUAUUAUGAUCAACAAUCUAUACAAAUUAAGUUUAAUUAAAGCCUGCCCCAUUAAAACGGAGAAUGUAUGUUAAAUAUUGUUUACUUUUCCAUAUAACUAUGUAAUAUAAUUAUAUAAAACCAACUCCCUUCCUUAGAUAAUAUUUUUACUAUAUAUUUUAUAUCCUUUCUUUUUCAACAUUGACUCAAAUUAUUUGUACCAAGUGCAAGGUUGACUCGUGCGCUACAAUUCACUAUAUAUACAUCGUUCAGACGCUUAACACAGCACCGAGCACAAGCCUCAACCCUAUUUGAACUUCUUGUUUCUCUAGUAAAGAUCACUACUCAUGGCUUCUUUUAAGUCUUCCUCGUCAACCAUCACUAACUUCAAAUUCCAUUUAGGGGCAUUUCUGCUUCUUGUUGGUGUUGCUUCUGCUCAAUUAGCUUCAAACUUCUAUGGAACAUCAUGCCCAAGUGUCCUUUCUGUCAUUAAAUCAGCUGUUAACUCAGCAGUCUCAAAAGAGGCUCGCAUGGGGGCAUCCUUGCUCCGUCUUCAUUUCCAUGAUUGCUUUGUUAAUGCAAGUCGUCUGCCUCUCUCUUCUUUUUCUUUUUUUAAUCAUCACUUCCCUAUUAAUCUUAUUUUUCUAUACUUUAUUAAACUUUCUUUAAGAAAUCUUUCCCUUUCUAUUUUGUAUAUGUAUGGCACGUAACACAACUACAUGCUAGCCAGUUAGCUGCUAGAAAUUUCAAGCUUUCUUUUAUUAUUAUUUUUUUUCAAUCAACAAGAGGCAACACGAGCAUCUACUGCCUAAACGGGAACCACAUCCUGUUUAUAAAUAAAUAAAUAAAAAGACAAUCCCCUUUAUGGGAUUGGGAAUAAUGAACUUAAAUCUUCCUAAAAAAAAUUUCUCUUUUGCUAAUUCGAUUUUUUUGCUAAAAAUAUAUUCCUAAUUAAUUUAUUUAGAAAUAUGUACACUCCAACACUAUAUAAACUCGAGAAGUUGAACAUUGUACCAGAUCAUGGUGGUACGUUGUGGUUUAUGGGAUUGAAAAUGAUAAACUUUUUGAUGAACUUAAUCUUUCUUUCUUUUUUUGACGAACUUAAUCCAAGAUCAAUUACAAAAAAACAAAAAUCUCGUGAUUUUUAUAUGAUGCACAUAUUAGUUAGUAAGAUUAAAAAAUAAAAAAUAAAAGCACCUUUACAUUUAUUUCCAAUUCCUCCCUUCAAAAGUAAAAGAAAUAAUUCAGCCCGUAUUGCUGACCUUUCCACCUAAAGCUAGCUGGUCUUGUCUUGUCCCUUUGUAUUUUUGCAUGGAUUCAUCAUGUCAUGUUUACUUGGCAUGCAGAGUUUUUUCUGUCUAUGUCACACUGUUGAAUUUGCUUUUAAUUGGUGGAACAAUAUUGUGAAGCAGGGGUGUGAUGCAUCAGUGCUUUUGGACGGUGGAGAAAAGACAGCACCAGCAAAUAAUAAUUCUCUGAGAGGUUUCGAAGUUAUUGACUGUAUUAAAACUCAAUUAGAGAGUUCCUGCCCUGGUGUUGUGUCCUGUGCUGACAUCUUAUCUGUUGCUGCUCGGGACUCUGUUGUUGCUGUAAGAAAAAUACCAUUUUUCAUGGCUUCCUCUGUGUCUGUGUCUGUGUGUGUGUAAUUACAUUUUCUAAAAUAUUUUGGAUCGUUUUGUUUCAGUUGGGUGGUCCUAGUUGGAAAGUUCCAUUGGGCAGGAGAGAUUCAGCCACAGCAGGAAGUGUUAGCGAUGUUAAUAGCAACAUCCCUUCCCCAGCCUUGAGUGCCAGUGGCCUCAUCUCUGCCUUCUCUAACAAAGGUUUCACAGCUAAAGAAAUGGUGGCUCUUUCUGGUAUGCUUAAUUUUGUGUCUUUUUUGAACUUCAUGGCAGUUAAAGCCAAUAAUUAGCUAGGCUUAGAAAAGCAACUAACCAUUGUUUUGUUUUCUGAAUUUCUUGUGUUGCAGGAUCUCACACAAUAGGGCAAGCAAGAUGUACCUCAUUCCUACCCAGAAUCAUCAAUGAAACCAACAUAGAUUCCUCGUUCAAAACAUCAACACAAGCUCAGUGUCAGAAUAAUAAAAAUCUCGUCCCUAUGGAUGUCACGAGCCCGACAUCUUUCGACAGUGCUUACUACAGGAACUUACUGAACCAGAAGGGCCUCUUACACUCUGACCAGCAACUCUUUAGCGGGGGCUCUACAAAUGCUCAGGUUAGGGCUUAUAGCUCUAAUCAGGCUGCUUUCAGGACAGACUUUGCAAAUGCAAUGAUAAAGAUGGGAAACCUUAGCCCACUCACUGGCACAAAUGGCCAGAUCAGGACCAAUUGCAGGAAAGCCAACUGAGUUCUAUGCCCAGUGGUCCGAAUGGCUAGCAGCUCUUCGUUUAUGUGUGUGAGUAGAUCCUAGAAAUAAAGAAGGGCAAAUACAUACAUGUCUACAUGUUAUUUUGCUCUCUUGUAAGGUUGUGGAAAAAGUUUCUGCGAUCCUCUUUCCAUCUUCUAGCGUGCAAGACAUGGGAAAAAGUUUCCAAGUAGUCUGUAUUUGUAAAGCGAUGUGAGAUGUGACUUAUGAAAUCUAUGCAAUUGGAGUUUAGUUUUUCAAAAGCACACAGCAAUUGGAAUGAUUAUAGAAAUCCAAGGGCUUCGAAUUCGAUGGGGCUUUUUAUCGGAACAGGCUAGUUAUGAGCCAGCCCAUAAAGGAUAUAUAAUUAAUUAUAUACAUAGUUAUUAAUUAUGACUCAUGAUGAUCCGGUAAGUUAACUCAAAUAAGUUUUAAAAAAUCAAAAUAAUAUUAUUUAAAAAAAUUAACAUGUUUUUUCUAAGUUUUUACAAGGAUGUGGGUUGAUUAGGUUUAACUUUUAAUAUAUAUAUAUUUUUUUUUUACACUUGGCCUGAUCCAAAAGAUGAGUUAUCGACCAACUAUAAUUAUAUAGUUAGACCUCUGUAUAUUAAUAAUAAAAAUCUCAAUUGAAUAAAACAUAUUAUUUAAUCAAGUUAAUAAUUUAGUGAGGUUAUAUUGUAUAUAGUUUUUUGAAACUUCGAGAUUGGAUAAUUAGUUUCAUUAAAGUAUAAGGACUGUAGUUGACAACUCAAUCAUUUGACAAGACAUGGAAGCCUGGAAUUUGAUUGUAUGACAUUUAAUAAAAUAAUAUCCUUAAUAUAUUUUUCGUUAAUUAAUUUUAAGGAAAUUUAAUUAAAAUAAAAGGGAAAAGAGACUUAAAACUCUUAGAACACUAAAAACAUUGUCGUCACAAUCCACAAUGUUACAAGUGUGUGUGGAUGAGUAAUGGAUUGCAUAGUUUUUUUAGCACACUAAUUAGGAUAUUUCUUAAUUUUUAUUAUGAUCAUUAGCUGGCCCAAAAUCUCAUGGAUACAAUAGUGACCCUAACUGAUACAUACCCAACGUCGUUAUUAAAUGUAGACUUUUAAUUACAUUAAGAUGUUGUGGAAUAAGUAAGAUAUGAGAUAGGUAGAUCGCGCUGGGUUAAUUUAUAUUUUAUUUUAAUGUAAGGUAAAUAUUAAAAUGAUGUAAAUGUUUUUAAAAAAGAAAAAAAAUAUUUGAUAUUCUGAUCCUUAACUUGAAUAGAUUUAAUAAGCUCAAAUAUUUUAUGUAGCUCAGAAUUGAAUUUUCUAAAGCUGAUUAUGAAGAUAAAUAUAAUGAAUUCAAAUGCAAUAUGGUUUAAAGUUCAAAUGCGAUAUGAUUGAAAACAGCUCGGAAUUCGUCAAAAUAAUGGAAUUUAAAACUUGAAGAUAUCUCUCUGACAAAUUCCAAGAAGAAAUUUUAAAUAAGCUUUUCAUUACUAUCUUAUGGUCCCAUAACAUAAAAAUUCAUGAGUAAUAGAAAAAAUUUCAAGAAAAUUCAUGAUCAGCAACUCUUUAGUGGAGCUCUACAGAGCUCGAAUCGAAUCAGACUGCUUUCAGGACCGACUUUGCAAAUGCAAUGAUAAAGAUGAAACCUAAGUCCACUAACGGGCACAAAUGGCCAGAUCAGGACCAAUUGCAGGUAGGCCAAUUGAAUAGUAUGUGUGUGAGUAGAUCCUAAAAAUAAAGGAGGGCAUAUAUAUACAUGUUAUUUUGCUCUCUUGUAAGGUUGUGGAAAAAGUUUGUGCGAUCUUGUUUCCAUCUUCUAGCGUACAAGACUUGGGAAAAAGUUUCCAAGUAGUCUGUAUUUGUAAAGCGAUGUGAGAUGUGACUUAUGAACUCUAUGCAAUUGGAGUUUUGUUUUUCAAAAGCACACAGCAAAUGGAA
rnacentral:lncRNA from 1 species